GUUUUCAAGAGCUGGGACAACAUUUCCUACUCUGUGGGUUCAAUCACACUCCAAGGUUCCUCAGGGAAUAAUGCCCACACAGCAUCACCUCUCAGGCGGGGGUGGGUAUUCCUUGCUCUCCCAUCUGUAUUAUGAGAUCAUUCUUUCUUGUGACACCCUCUGUUCCCUGGACAUCCACCUGCCCUGUGCUGGCUGUGGGGACCUGGGAGGAGCAAGAACCAGGCCCUGCCAUGGAGGAGCCCACGGUCUGAAGACAGAGACCAGAGGCAGCAACCUAGCAGUUGGACCAAGUGCUGGACAUUGCACCAUGAGGACUAAUUCCCGUGUUGUCACGCCUUGAGGGAGGAGUCAGAUUUUAACAGGAGGACACAGAGAAAGGUAGAAUCUUGGGUGGCUCCAGAGGAAGCUGGGCAGCUUAUAGGGGCUUGACGGGCAUGACAAAGAUUGGAGACUAAAGCCUGUGUGUGAUGAUGGCCAGAGGAGCCCUCCUGGAGGAUCGGCCCAAGCAGGGAUCAUCUGCCCACUUCACAGAUGGAUACACAGAGGCUUGUGGAGGCUAAAAGAUGUGUCCAAGGGCAUAAAGUUACAAGACAUAGGAGCCCAUUUGGGAAUAAAGGGUCUUGAAUUCUAGGGAGACAAGGAAGUAUUUAAACCUGGAAGAAUCACCUCUUUCCUCUGCAGUGAUUUGAACUGGCUGGAAUUAAAAUACCUUCCCAGCCUAAGGGCACUGCGGCUGUGUAUUUUUUAUUUUGCAAAUUACCACAAACUGGAGUAUUCAUGAGCAACCUUAAAGCCACCCUGGAUCCCCUUCAAGCUGCCUGCUGCGUGCUUCGCCAGAGCCUCUGUGUCCUGAGGCUCCACAGCCAUGAAUUAUUAAAGAGCAGGACAACUAUAAUUCACAUAAUGAGAUCAGAGGUUCCCAGUAACGACUUAAUUUCGAGCUGGUGCUGGAGGAGCUUGAAGGAAUUCUCAGGGAACAACUCGAGUGCCGGGGAAUUGCCUUGGAUGGGGUCCUAGGGCUGUGGGUCCUCUGCAAUGUCCAGACCCAGGGAGGGAGGGCAGUGUUACAUACAGUGAACUCCAAGUUUCUCUUCAAAGAUUCAGCAUGUCAGUAUGUUUGGUUCCUCGUCUUCCAUUUUAAAGUUUAACUUCCUUGUAUUUUCAGUUAACAACCCUUCCCACCAGUUCUAAUCAACAGUUCACAUCUGUUCCUCCCCAUCUUCUGCUCCAUCCUGACUCAUCCCGGUCACCUGCUUUGACCUAGGUCACCGCUGGCUACCUGCUCUGACCUGUCCCAUAACCGUCCUUCCUGCCAAACUACCCACCCACCACUCUGGCCCAUACUCCUGCUCCCCUUAAAGUAGCCAAUCAGAAUCAGCUUAGACUAUGUGGUCUAACCCUAGCCAAUAGGGGAACAACCACAGCAGUAGGGGCUACCGGCAUCAGGGAUAAGAACCCCUUCUUCUCCUUCCC